GUUUUUCUCCUCAGUCUGGAGCCGUAUCACGGAAGCAGUUGGUAAUUACUCAGAGCCACGUUUGGCUUUGCAGCGUGGAAAUCUGCUGGAAAUCGGUUCGGUUCGUAAGCAAAUGGCCCAGGUGCAGAAAUGGUUCAGGUUAGCUGAGUGUCCUCUGGCGUGGUCUAAGAGCUUCAUUUGUCUCCCUGCGAAAUAUCAGUGCUGAUCCCAUGGACAGGGAGGAAGAGGCACUGGAAAGUGAUGGGCAUGAUGGCAAUAAGGACUCCUGGUUGUAUAGAAGAAAAUGCAUUAGC